rnacentral:tRNA from 1 species
GGAGUUGUGGCUCAGUGAUAGAGCGCUUGCCUAGCACGUGAGGGGAGCUGGGUUCGAUCCUCAGCACCA